GGAUGAAAUUUUAUUUAACUCGUGGAAUGAUUUAACUAGUGGAGCAGGAGGACCAUUUAACCAUGGGGCAACUAUCUACUCCUUUAAUGGAAAUAAUGUAAAAGAAGAUCCCAAAUGGCCAAUGAAAGUAUUGUGGCAUGGAUCAGAUAAAAAAGGUGCAAGAAUGACGGAUAAAUCAUGUAGAGGAUGGAGUUCACACUCGCGUUAUGCUACCGGCCUUGGUAGCUCUCUAAUGGAAGGAAAAGUCAUGGAGCAAGAUGAAUAUAGCUGUAAUAAUGCUUUUGUCGUGUUGUGUGUGGAGAUCACAAGUCAAAUCCGGCUAAGAAAGUGAAAUUAAUGUAGACAAGAAAUUUUUAUAUUAUUGAGUAUAUACUAGAACUGACUUGUUACGCUUAACACAGUUAACUUUAGAUGAACAAAAAAGAUCUGUGAUAUACGUAUUUUUUGUUGAUGGUGACUGAUUAUUGGUUGCUUGAAGUCAUGUGACCUGCUGGAGCAAAGAUCUGAUUGGAUGAAUUUUUAAUACCGCUGACCAGUAUAAAUCCAUAGAAUAGUGAGGAAAAAGAUGUUGCCAUAUUAACUAACUGUAGGCUUUGACUUUAGUAUAUAGAGGCGCUUGUUUCAUGAAGUUUCUACAAAGUGUGCAUUCAUUUAUUCAUUCAUUCUUUAAUAUUUCUGGGGAGGAAAUCUCAUGUAGAUUUAUUUGAUUGGUUGUUUUCGUACAGUAUAAUUUAAUGUAUACUAUGUAAUUUUAUACAAAGAGAAAAGUUUUCUAAGAUGUUAUGAAGGAAAAUUCCUUUCAUUUCAAUAGAAAAAUCUACAAAGAUGUGUUGAUUUCACAAUUCUGAUUGUUAAUAAUUUUAAAAAUCGUAGACAAAUUGUAGUUUAAAUAUGUCAACUGUGAUUAGGUUAUAAGUUUUAAAAAAACUUGUGUCUUUUGAAUUGUAAAGACAUUUUCUCCAUUACGUUUCUUUUUCAUGUAUGCUUUUCAUUGGUUUGCUUAAAUUGUAUUCCUGUAUCUGAUUGGCCAGUAUUAAGAAGCCUGGCUUUCAUUUGUUAUUGUAAUGUGAUCUCUGAUUGGAUCAUUUGAAUUCAAACGACCAAUAACAUUGCUCGAUAUAUUUGUGUACCAUUAGGAGCCUUUUAUAACGGUGAAUUAACUGGUUCCAAAUAUCGCCAUAGAAACCAGUUUGAAAGACAAGUCACAUGUAUGUAAAUUAGUCUCGAAACAAAAGAGAAAAUAUUCCUCGUAACUUUUCACCGAAUGCUUACGGACAUUACGGAAAAUUUAUCAGAUAUACUCUUUACUGUUUUAUUCAGAGAACUUUCGCAUUUUUUUACGAUUUUUUAAACUUUCGUUUUUAUUUAAAGACAAAGGUAUUAAUAUCUUUCUGCUUUUUUUUUCGGAUGUCCUCGCUCCCCAUUAUUAUAAUAUGUGCCUACUAUUUUUUGCAAGUUGUAAAUUUGCUUCGUUUUGGAAUGUGAGGAUAAGGUACCUUAUAGUUUAAGUGAAAGUAUCAGACGUUUGGAUAAAGUCAUUAAAAGUUAUUGUUACUUUUAGGUUAAGUACUCAUAAUGAGAUACUUAAAAUAUUUUUUGUAUCGAUAAUUUGAAAGACUGACAGUUUCAAAGAAAAUGUCCUGUCUCAUGUCACACCUAUGUUAAGUCUCUUCAGUAUCUGAAUAUAGUGAUGCUGAUGAACAUAGCAGAUUUAAACUUUUCUCAUGAGAAUGAAUUAUAUGAAAGUCUAAAACUUUUACUAAAUACAUGUAUGAAAAUAUUUACUAAAAUGGUCUUAAGUCAGUCCUACAGUUUACAGUAUAAGUCCUAGCUUUUACAAUACACUUAGGACUGUAUAUGAAGUGCAGCCCAGUUUUAAAGUGUUUUUAGCUAUAUUUAGCAUGAUAUAAUCCAAUGAAUAAUGGGCAAUAACUCUGAUGAUCACAUGAAUAAUGGGCAAUAACUCUGAUGACUUUAUUGAGACAGUUGUGAUAAUGUAUGUUAGAGAUUUAUUGUUAUGAAUGUAGCUGCAUGCCAAAAUAUUGUACAUAGAUAAUGUUUGUAUCAAAGUAUUACAAAAAACUCCUAUAAGGGGCUGACGAUGGUGUUUGUUUUUUUUGUGAAUUGUGUUAUUGUUAAAUCGAACAGUUUUUGACCUAUGUAGAUAGAUGUAAACAUUUUGUUUUUCAUGCAGCACUCUUAUUAUAGCCUUUCUGGAACCAUAACUUUCAUCAAUUUAUUAUUUACCUACUUACCCUUUACAAACAUUUGUUAUUUUCUUGUGAAGAAUUAUAGGGAGUUUUCUAACAAGAAAUAAAAGUCAUCACACGCUUAAUGUGUCUAUUACCAUAAUAUGAAUCUGAUAAAGUGAUGAUAAACAUCUGUUACUAUUUUAUAGAUUCAUAUAAUUUAGAAAAAAACACAAUUGUAAUAUUUAUGGAUUUAUACAUGUAUAAAUAGAUACAUCUUACUACAUAAGGAUUUGGAAUGUAUCUAUCUUUAGAAUUGUGGAUGUAUAAAUAGACACAUGUUACUAUCUUUAGAUUCAUGAAUUUAUAAAUAGACACAUGUUACUAUCUUUAGAUUUGGAAUGUAUAAAUAGACACAUGUUACUAUCUUUAGAUUCAUGAAUUUGUAAAUAGACACAUGUUACUAUCUUUAGAUUUUGAAUGUAUAAAUAGACACAUGUUACUAUCUUUAGAUUCAUGAAUGUAUGAAUAAACAUUUGUUACUAUAGACAAUAAAAUGAAAACAAAUAUUUAAUCAUUUUUAUAAACUUCAUGUAUAUGUUUGUAACAAUUUGUAUAGACAUGGAAAUGCAUUUGCUUUUCAAGUGUUACCAAUUUAUGAACACCUAAUAGUAAAAGGGGAUGAAUUUAGGGUGGGGAUUGUGGGGGCUGGGGUAAAAUAAAUCCAUAGUAUUACAAUGUCAAACAGUUGUUAUUAAUUACCAAAUCUUUAUACAAAAUAGCUUUAAUUGUUGAAUGGGUAAAUAAUGAAUUCCAGCUUUAAAAUUGUUUAUAUAAAAACAUUCUAAAAAAAUAUUUUUAAGUUUCUAAAUAGUGACCACAUAUUUCAACUUUUAGCAACUGUACAGUAACCACUUAUAUUCUAUCUCUUUGAAACUUUUUAUAUAUCAGUUUUUAUUUCAUUUUUUUUAUGAAUUUUUCUGUCUUUUACAUUACGAAUUUUUAGAAAUAUUUUAUAACACUUUGCAUGAUUUAUAGAAAUAUGUCUUGGAGAAAAAUAAAAAGCUUUCGAAUAUGUA